GAUGAACGCUGGCGGCGUGCUUAACACAUGCAAGUCGAACGGAAAGGCUCCUGCUUGCCGGGGUACUCGAUUGGCGAACGGGUGAGUAACACGUGGGUGAUCUGCCCUGCACUUCGGGAUAAACCUGGGAAACUGGGUCUAAUACCGGAUAGGACAAUGGUUUGGAUGCCAUUGUGGAAAGUAUUUCGGUGUGGGAUGGGCUCGCGGCCUAUCAGCUUGUUGGUGGGGUAAUGGCCUACCAAGGCGUCGACGGGUAGCCGGCCUGAGAGGGUGGACGGCGUCAUUGGGACUGCGAUACGGCCCAGACUCCUACGGGAGGCAGCAGGGGGGAAUAUUGCACAAUGGGCGCAAGCCUGAUGCAGCGACGCCGCGUGGGGGAUGACGGCCUACGGGUGGUAAACUCCUUUCGCUAGAGACGAAGAGGAAGUGACGGUACCUGGAGAAGAAGCACCGGCUAACUACGUG
rnacentral:rRNA from 1 species